rnacentral:misc_RNA from 1 species
UCGGUAUUAGAGUAUUGUAUAGAGAGCUGCAGUAUUCAACUGCACUCUCAUUUAAGUGAAGAUAGUUAGGAUUAGAGUUAGUUCUCUACCUGAGUUAGUAAGUUAGUUAUUGACAACUGUUGACAGCUGUCAUAACUAACUAUCCUAAACUAUAUAUACUCUUUUGUAACUCAGUUCAGCGCCAAUAACAAUUACAAUUUCUUGAUUCUCAAGUUUUCUCUCGUUCAGAUGUCUUUUUUAUCUUCUUUUCUGGUCUGUUAAGAACUCUAU